rnacentral:rRNA from 1 species
AUUGAACGCUGGCGGCAUGCCUUACACAUGCAAGUCGAACGGCAGCGGACCUUCGGGUGCCGGCGAGUGGCGAACGGGUGAGUAAUAUAUCGGAACGUGCCUUUCAGUGGGGGAUAACGUAGCGAAAGUUACGCUAAUACCGCAUAUUCUCUGAGGAGGAAAGCAGGGGACCUUCGGGCCUUGCGCUGAUAGAGCGGCCGAUAUCAGAUUAGCUAGUUGGUGGGGUAAAGGCCUACCAAGGCGACGAUCUGUAGCGGGUCUGAGAGGAUGAUCCGCCACACUGGGACUGAGACACGGCCCAGACUCCUACGGGAGGCAGCAGUGGGGAAUUUUGGACAAUGGGCGAAAGCCUGAUCCAGCCAUGCCGCGUGAGUGAAGAAGGCCUUCGGGUUGUAAAGCUCUUUCGGCCGGGAAGAAAUCGCACAGGCUAAUACCUUGUGUGGAUGACGGUACCGGAAUAAGAAGCACCGGCUAACUACGUGCCAGCCGCCGCCGUAA